rnacentral:antisense_RNA from 1 species
GGAGGAGGCGGAGGAGGCGGAGGUGGAGGAGGAAGCUGGGGUGGACGAGGCGGAGGAGAGAGAGGCGGGCCGCGGGCGCAGGCUGUCAGGCUGAGGCUCAGCGCGCUCCGGGAGCGGCGGGGGCGGCGGCGGCUGAAGAGGCUGCUGGGCGGUCAGGGGACCCGCGGCGCCGCUGCCCUUGAGCGGGCCGGCGCCGCCGUGAGGGAAGAGUUGCUGCCAGUGCUGCAGUUGUCUGAGCCUGGGAAACGUGCCGUUUAGACUUCAUCCGGGUCUCAUUCAGGAUGCUUCGAUGUUGGUUGGAACAGAGUUAGAACGAAAAUGUUUUGACUGGCGUCGUUAUGACAAGGUCAUCCGUCAUUGUUGGAUAGAUUGAUAGCACCCAAGUUUAAGGCAGACACCACGAGGGAAAACCCACGGCGCUGUGGUCCCGGAGGCUAACCAGGCAGUGUCCGCAGACCUCCAGCAACUCCAUCGGGAGGAGAGGAUGAAGUUCCAGGCCCGUUUCAAUUAAUCUGCUCGCAGAACUGCCGAAGA